CCAGACUCCCUACGGAAGGCAGCAGUGGGGAAUAUUGGACAAUGGGCGCAAGCCUGAUCCAGCAAUGCCGCGUGAGUGAUGAAGGCCCUUAGGGUUGUAAGCUCUUUCGGCGGGGACGAUGAUGACGGUACCCGCAGAAGAAGCCCCGGCUACUUCGUGCCAGCAGCCGCGGUAAUACGAAGGGGGCUAGCGUUGUUCGGAAUUACUGGGCGUAAAGGGCGCGUAGGCGGUGUAACAAGUUAGGCGUGAAAGCCCCGGGCUCAACCUGGGAAUUGCGCUUGAUACUGUUAUGCUAGAGUUCGGGAGAGGUGAGUGGAAUUCCCAGUGUAAGGUGAAAUUCGUAGAUUUGGGAAGAACACCAGUG
rnacentral:rRNA from 1 species